CCCAAGCUCCGGGGACAGCUGGGAGACGCAGCGCGUCUUCCCGCUGUCCCCGGACUUGAUGUCAAGGUGGGCGGCAGGGAGAAGAGCGCUUCUCCCCGCUGCCUGCCCCCCAGCGCCGGGGACGGCGGGAGACGCAGCGCGUCUCCCGCUGCCCCCGGCCCUGAUCUGACGGGGGGCGGCAGGGAGAAGAGCGCUUCUCCCCGCUGCCUGCCCCCAAGCUCCGGGGACAGCGGGGAGACGCAGCGCGUCUCCCCGCUGUCCCCGGACCUGAUCGCAAGGCGGGCGGCAGGGAGAAGAGCGCUUCUCCCCGCUGCCUGCCCCCAAGCUCCGGGGACAGCUGGGAGACGCAGCGCGUCUUCCCGCUGUCCCCGGACCUGAUCUGAAGGCGGACUGCGGGGAGACGAGCGCUUCUCCCCGCUGCCGGCCCCACAAGCGCCUGGGGGGGAAAUAAUUUUUUUUUCUUUAUUUCCCCCCCCAAAAACUUGAUGCGUCCUAUGGGCCGGUGCGUCCUAUGGUGCGAAAAAUACGGUAG